CUGGUCCCUCCGCCCGCCCGAACGGGCCCGCAUUAGGCGGGUGCCGCCGGUCGGGCACGGUGGGGACUAGUGGCAGCGGUUCGGUGCCAGCUGCUCGGGGUCGGAGGGGGUCAAAAACCCACCAUCAAUAUCAAGGCUGACCAUCUCUCCAGCAUGGAUGUGAAAUCUUCAGGCUGUGACCC